AGGUGAUUGACUUUUAUGGUAUUAUAGUUGACAUCCUUGAGUUAGAGUAUGUUGAGGAAAAUCGAGUUCUCCUAUUUAAAUGCAAGUGGUUUGAUCUUCGCAAGAAAGCAGGGAUGCAAAAAGAUAAUAAUUUUACGAGUAUUUGUGUUAAAAGGUUUUGGUAUGAACAAGACUCUUUUGUACUAACUACUCAAGCAAAACAAGUUUUCUAUAUAGAUGACCCAAAAUUGGGGGAAAAUUGGCGAAUUGUGCUCAAAUUUCAAGAUAGACACUUAUAUGAUGUGCCAGAGAAGGAAAAUUCAAACAUAGAAAGUGAUGAGUUACAUAUUGCAAAUGAUGAAGUGUAUCAAGAUAUUUCACUUGAAAAUAAUUCAAUUGUCAGUGAUUCGGUGGAAAUACUGUGUCAACUACAUAGAGAUGAUAUUGAUUCGGUUACCUUGGAUGCAAAUGUAAUUGAAUUGGAGGCUCAAACACAACAUGCAGUUGAAAUUGAUUACAGCGAUGAUGAUUGUAACAAGAGGAUGACACUAUAAUAGAGUACAUUAGUGAUCAUGAGGAGAAUGAAGGUAAUAAUAGUACCAAUGAUGAUGAAGUUGAUAGCACAUUUGAUGGUGACGACAUUGGCUUUUGAUGUAACCUCGUAAGAGGGUCCAUAUCUUUGGACUGAUUGCAAACAAUGCACACGAAAUUGCAGAUCACAGGUGACGUCGACAAGACUUUAGCUAUAGUGUACGAGUUGAAAAAUCUAUAGUUCACGGGGAUUGCUUUGUGUGGACAAGAAGUUGUUUAUUUACUACCGCCCUUUUCUUUUGAACUCUUAGAGUCGCUUUGUUAAUCAUUUCACUAGUGUCAUGCGUAAUUUUCCAUUAUUGGAAACUUGAAAUAGUAUUAGACUUCUUUUCGUAGUUGGAGAUGGAUUUAGUAUUAUUAUACUGUUGAUGCAUGUUAUGGCUUGCUUUUUUUAGCGAUAUUGGUUGGGUAUGUUAUUGAUUUUUUAGACAGGAAUU